UGUGAGCAGAAAGCCAGGUUGGUAUUCGCCUUCACCCCACCCUCUGUGUGCUGGGUCUCUGAAUCGCUGCACGGUGUGAGCGAUGGGUUCAAGGAAAGACCCCGGCUAGUGACUCUAAGGGAGACAAGCACAGGCUAUCAAUGAUCGCGGACGGCUUAUUAACAAAGCACCAGAGGAUAUGCCAGCAAUGCACCAAUCGUGGUGGAGAACAUGCCCACCUUCUAGCUCCUGGAUACACAAGAGAGUCAGCUCCACUCCUCGGGUGUCAUCUUGCCCACUUGAGGUGAGUCAGUGGUUACUAACUGGGUAACUUUCACUUAGUCGGCACUAAAGAACAACACCUGGCAAUGACAGUCA